GAUUUAUCCCAGUGGCUUCAGGUGUCCUCCUCACUGAAAGACUCAGAGGUGUCACUGCUUUUGCACAGCAUUGUAUUUCUCUCUGCCAACUACCCGAAAGGUGCCAGCCGACACUGACAGGAAGCCUGAAGCCAUCUGCUUUUGCGAUUAUGCUCUUCUUCGCCGCACUGGGCAGCACAACUUCCUAAGAGUUGUCAACAUCUCCCUUCCCCCCCCGCAAAUGAAAACAUUUUAAACUGUUCUUGGCAUGAUUUUGAGCUGGUUUGCAGUUAAGAAAAAGAAGCUGUUAAUUAUAUACACCUUUGGAACUGUUCUGUUUUCCAAGUACACACCAAGGUAACAGGAUUUUUUGGGGGAAAAAUAGGAUGAAUCUAGUGUCUUUAUCUGGGGAGUGGUAUGGGAUUCCUCUUAAUGAAUGCACAGUAAGACUAAAAAGUCUUGCUUAGUGAAGUUCUCAUGUAAUUCAGACCCUAAAGAGGGACUUAAAUUGAUUUUGAUGCUGUAUAUCUAGUGAUGUUGAUGUAAUAUGAAUACCUGUUGCUGUAUUUUAAGCUUGUUACCACUGUUAAGCUCAGGCAAGCCUGAGCAUUUGUUUACUUCUGAGCUAAUGCACCAUUACACACCUAUAAAGACAAGCAGGGAAACAAAGAGGAUAUUAUUAAGUAAAAGUUCAGCAGCACUUUGUGUGCUGUUCAUAUUUUACUUGUGGAAUGGUAAAAUAGUUUGGACUCAUUCCACUUAUAAAAAUAUAAUCGCUUUUAUGUGGGCGUGUUAAAUGUUUUUACAUGUACACAUCAAACACGUGCUGUAGCUUCUCAUACAUUUACCUCACUUUAUGCUCUGUUCGUACUUCUUUACAAUGAAUAAAGCUGGCCAAAGGGGAAUUUUGUUGCAACUGUCUUGAGGGGAGAAACGACAAAUAUGGAAGAAAUGGUCGAUAUGAAAAAUCAGUAAAUUACACAAGGCACCUUCUACAAGCAAAGACUAAGUUUAAGGAUCCUAUAUAGAGAUUGAAAAAAAAGCCCAAUUGUUAUAUUUGCAAUUGCAAAGACAUUCAAGCCUGCAUUUACAAGCGGUCUGAAAAGAGAUGUGAUGGCACUUUACUUACCACACUUGUGCACAGAGUUUUUUUUUUGUUUUUUUUACUAUUUCAGGGAGGCAGUACAAAGUGGAACUGCACAUCCCCUGCGCUGUUGUAAAGUGUGAAAAAUGACAGGUCAUCUCCUUCCUGUGCUAUUUUGCAAGAAGUGGCGCAAUUCCUCUGAAAUAUGAGUUGCAAAAGUUCUUUUCUGUUCAAGUUUUUUAAUUUUUUAAAUAUAUAUUAUUUACUCAACAGGUUUUGAAUGUUAUGUUGCCGAGUCAAUAUUAUAUACAUGGUACUGUAAUGGAACUGUGUCUGAAAUAAAUACCUUUUGGGUGCA